rnacentral:tRNA from 1 species
GGCGAUGUAGCUCAGUGGCACAGCGUCUGCCUAGCAAGCACAAGGUCCUGAGUUUGAUUCCCAGUACCA